rnacentral:lncRNA from 13 species
AUGUAUCUAUCAUCUAUCCUUCUAUCAUCUAUCCAUCUUUCAUCUGUUUAUCAUCUAUCUAUUCAUCAUCUAUAUUCUAUUAUCUAUCUAUCCAUCUAUUAUCUAUCAUUCAUCUAUGUGUACAUCUAUCUAUCCAUCAUCUAUCAUCUAUCUAUCAUCUAUCAUCUAUCCAUCAUCUACUAUCUAUCCAUUAUCUAUCAUUCAUCUAUGUGUACAUCUAUCCAUCAUCUAUCUAUCCAUGUAUCAUCUAUCUAUCAUCUAUCUAUCCAUCAUCUACUAUUACCUAUCCAUUAUCUAUCAUUCAUCUAUGAGUACAUCUAUCUAUCCAUCUAUCAUCUAUGUAUCCAUCAUCUAUCCAUCUAUCUGUCCAUCCAUCUAUCCAUCAUCUAUCCAUCUAUCAUCUAUCCAUCAUCUAUCUAUCCAUCCAUCAUCUAUCCAUCUAUCCAUCAUCUAUGUAUCCAUCAUCUAUCCAUCAUCUAUCUAUCUAUCAUCUAUGUAUCCAUCAUCUAUCUAUCCAUCUAUCAUGUAUGUAUCCAUCAUCUAUCUAUCCAUCUAUUAUCUAUGUAUUCAUCUACCCAUCUAGCUCUCUAUACCUUUGUGCAUAUGGCAUUGGAUCUCAACCAAGAGCAGGUCCCCCCCUGUUGGGGAACACUAUUCAGUGUCUGCACUCAUCUUUGGUGUCCCUAUGGGGGGGGUGCUCCUGGCACCUGGUGGGUGGAGCCCACAAAUGAUGCUCAGUACCCUCUAGCACCCAGGGUGGCCCACAGCAAAGAAGCCUCCAGCCCCAAACGUCAGCAGUGCUGAGGCUGCGAGACCUGCAUCUAAUGGGAGAAGGGGGCCUGAGGGCAGACACCACGUCCACUUACACCUUCCAAAUGCUCCAGUUCUGGCUGGGUGCGGGGGCACGGCUGGAGUAUAAAGCAGGCAGAGAAAUGUGGAACAGGGCCUGGCCUCUCCUCGCAGCCUCCACCUUUCUCCCGUGCUGGACGCUUCCUGCUCUUAAAUAUUGAACUCCAAGUUCUUCACUGUGGGGACGCGGACUGGCUCUCCUUGCCCCUCAGCCUGCAGAUGGCCUAUGGUGGGACCUUGUGACUGUGUCAGUUAGUCAUUAAGUCCUUUAUAUAUAUAUAUAUAUAUAAAUAAAACUUCCUUAUAUACAUAUCUUCCUUUUU